CGGGGUGUGGCGCAGUCCGGUAGCGCGCUUGCUUUGGGAGCAAGAUGCCGCAGGUUCGAAUCCUGUCACUCCGACCA
rnacentral:tRNA from 1 species